ACAACAUAUACUAAUCUCGGCCCAAAUAGCCCAAAGUAAAAACAUCUGAACCGACAAAAUUGUGUGGUCGAUGACCAUUCAGUUUAAAAAAAGAAAAAAAAGGAAAGAACAGAAUUUUCUGUCUCGAUGGUGGAACUCAUGAUAUGAACGGCCGCGGCGUACUUCCGGUGGUAAAGAUGGAAGCGUCUGCUUGAAGAGGUUAAGAUCGACGGUAGAAAAUCAAAGAACUAUCGAAUUUUUCAGAUUUUCUAGAAAACUUCAUGACGAUCCAAACUCGAUAGAUCCACAGAGGACUUCUCUGUUUCUGAUCUAUUUAGGCAUCCGUGAAAGACACGAUGAGUUUGAGAUGGUUGACGAACUUCACAGUUUCAGCUCUGUUUGACAUAGUCCAAAGAAGAUUUGAAAGACCACAAAUGGAAUAAUAAACUUUCAGAGAAGAUAUUCAUAUUCCAAAUACGAAGAUUCAUGAUUUUAAAAUAAAAGAUAAGUUUUUUCCAGAUUAUUUGUCUUCUUUUACAUUAAUAUAAAUCAUACUUCAUAGAGAAAUAGCAUUAUUAGUUUAUUAAUAUAUGUUUGAAUUUUACAUUUGACAGCAGGGAUAAAUUUGGAUCCGGAUAAAUACGUUGGAAGUAAACAUUUACCAUCACGAAAAGGGAGAUCAUGGUGAUACCAAAAGUUAGGGGUGGGCGUUCGGGUACCCGUUCGGGUUCGGAUCGGGUAUUUCGGAUUUUCGGGUAUUUCGGUAUAGGAGUAUAAUAUCCGUUCGGGUAUUUCUGAACUUCGGAUCGGGUUCGGGUAUUUUUAGUUCGGGUUCGGUUAUUUCGGAUCGGGUUCGGAUAUUUAGAUUUUAAAAGAAAUAAAAAUAAAAUUUUCUUUUUUAAAGUUUUUUAUAUUUAAAAAUAUAGAUUUUACUUAACUGAUUUUUUUUUUCUUUUUAUAGAUUGAAUGAUUAAUAGAUUUGGAGAUAACAUUUCCAAAAUAAAAAUAUUAAUUUGGCUAUUGUUUUUAAACUUUGGAUGUAACUUUGGUUAAUAUAUGAAAUAAAAAGUUUAACAUGCAUUUCAAAUGAAUAUCAAAUUAUUUUCUCCAUAAUUAUAUAUAUACUAUAUGAUUUUAAAGUAUGUCUAACAUCAAUAUAAAUAUUUUAAAUAAAAUGAGAGAUGUAAACUAGAAAUAUAAGGGUAAGUAUACACAUGUUCGGUUAUUUUCGGAUAUCCAUUCGGAUUCGGGUAUUACCCGUUCGGGUUCGGAUAUCCAAUCUCUCCUAACUUAAUACCCGUUCGGGUAUUUUACUACUUCGGUUCGGAUUUCGGUUCGGGUUUUUCGGGUCGGGUUCGGGUGCCACUUCGGAUAUCGGUUAAAGUGCCCACCCCUACCAAAAGUAGUACAGGUCGAGCAAUUAAAAGUUUAGAGACAGAAGCUUUAUACAUUUGAAGGACAUGGGACAAAGACAUGGCUGCAAAGAAAUACAAACCUAAAACCUUGACAUGAACAAUCUUAUUGGUGUUCCUUGGCUUCAAGGCGCUGAUGGCGGUGAUUUCUUCAGUAGCAGCAUUCGAUAUGUUGAUUUUCGAUUUAGAAGCCAUAUUUUUGGUUUGACGGAAUGAGUUUGAGUAGGAAGAGUCGUCAGUAUUUAUAAUAGGAAGAAGUAGUAGGAAGAUUAGAUUAGGUAUUUCGAAAACUGGUUGGGUACUCAAAAUAUUUUGCGAGAUUUUUAUAGUUAAUAGUAUUAAAUGCAGUUACCAAUUUGUCACCA